rnacentral:lncRNA from 1 species
UUGAAUUUUUUGUCAAAUAGUACAUAAAUAAAUACGUUAUUUAAUGUGUUUUUUUUCUUCAUUUUGUCAUUUUUGUUGUCUUCUACCUUUCAUCAAAUGUCAUACAAUAAUUUUUUUUUAUAUACAGUGGACUACACGUCGUACAUGAUUUCAAUAAGCUCUUGUCUUUAAGGUAGUUGGAAAAUCAAAUCGUAUCACUAAUAAACAUAAUCUCACAGUAUUCUGUAUGUUUAUGUUUAUAUAUCCACAUUAACCAUUUAAAUAAUUGGAUUGAAAUUUACCGCUCGAUUAGCUAAAAGAAUCAUCAGCUUUUGUUUUUUCA